AUACGUAGGGGGCAAGCGUUAUCCGGAAUUAUUGGGCGUAAAGAGUACGUAGGUGGUUUCCUAAGCGAGGGGUUUAAGGCAAUGGCUUAACCAUUGUUCGCCCCCCGAACUGGGUUACUUGAGUGCUGGAGGGGAAAGCGGAAUUCCUAGUGUAGCGGUGAAAUGCGUAGAUAUUAGGAGGAACACCAGUGGCGAAGGCGGCUUUCUGGACAGUAACUGACACUGAGGUACGAAAGUGUAGGGAGCAAACAGGAUUAGAUACCCUGGUAGUCCACACCGUAAACGAUGAGCACUAGGUGUUGGGUUCGCAAGAACUCGGUGCCGCAGUUAACGCAUUAAGUGCUCCGCCUGGGGAGUACGUACGCAAGUAUGAAACUCAAAUGAAUUGACGGGG
rnacentral:rRNA from 1 species